rnacentral:rRNA from 1 species
GACGAACGCUGGCGGCGUGCUUAACACAUGCAAGUCGAACGGAAAGGCCCUGCUUUUGUGGGGUGCUCGAGUGGCGAACGGGUGAGUAACACGUGAGUAACCUGCCCUUGACUUUGGGAUAACUUCAGGAAACUGGGGCUAAUACCGGAUAGGAGCUCCUGCUGCAUGGUAGGGGUUGGAAAGUUUCGGCGGUUGGGGAUGGACUCGCGGCUUAUCAGCUUGUUGGUGGGGUAGUGGCUUACCAAGGCUUUGACGGGUAGCCGGCCUGAGAGGGUGACCGGCCACAUUGGGAAUGAGAUACGGCCCAGAGUCCUACGGGAGGCAGCAGUGGGGAAUAUUGCACAAUGGGCGGAAGCCUGAUGCAGCAACGCCGCGUGCGGGAUGAAGGCCUUCGGGUUGUAAACCGCUUUCGCCUGUGACGAAGCGUGAGUGACGGUAAUGGGUAAAGAAGCACCGGCUAACUACGUG